ACUUACCUUCAACGUUGCUUCGGCGGGUUGGGCUCCGGGUCUCCCGGGGCCCCCCGGCCCUCGCGGGCGCCCGCCGGAGGUAUCUAACUCUUGAAAUUGUAUGGCCUCUCUGAGUGAUUUACUUAAUAAGUCAAAACUUUCAACAACGGAUCUCUUGGUUCUGGCAUCGAUGAAGAACGCAGCGAAAUGCGAUAAGUAAUGUGAAUUGCAGAAUUCAGUGAAUCAUCGAAUCUUUGAACGCACAUUGCGCCCGCCAGUAUUCUGGCGGGCAUGCCUGUUCGAGCGUCAUUUCAACCAUCAAGCCCCCGGCUUGUGUUGGGGACCUGCGGCUGCCGCAGGCCCUGAAAACCAGUGGCGGGCUCGCUAGUCACUCCGAGCGUAGUAAUACAUCUCGCUCAGGGCGUGCUGCGGGUUCCGGCCGUUAAAAGCCUUAUUUACCCAAGGUUGACCUCGGAUCAGGUAGGAAGACCCGCUGAACUUAAGCAUA
rnacentral:rRNA from 1 species